CAAUAGCGUAUAUUAAAGUUGUUGCGGUUAAAAAGCUCGUAGUUGGAUUUCUGUUGAGCGCAGCCCGUCUACCUUUUGGGUAUGUAUGUGGUUUGAGCUCGGCAUCUUCGUGGAAAACGUUUCUGCGCUUGAUUGCGUGGGGCGGGGUUCACGACUUUUACUUUGAGGAAAUUAGAGUGUUCACGGCAGGCAUACGCCUUGAAUAUAUUAGCAUGGAAUAAUAAUAUAGGAUCUUGGUUCUAUUUUGUUGGUUUCUAGGGCUAAGAUAAUGAUUAAUAGGGACAAUUGGGGGCAUUCGUAUUAACAAGUCAGAGGUGAAAUUCUUGGAUUUUGUUACGACGAACUACUGCGAAAGCAUUUGCCAAGGAUGUUUUCAUUGA
rnacentral:rRNA from 1 species